rnacentral:rRNA from 1 species
UACAGAGGGGGCGAGCGUUGUUCGGAAUUACUGGGCGUAAAGGGCGCGUAGGCGGCCUGUUAAGUCGAACGUGAAAUCCCCGGGCUCAACCCGGGAACUGCGUCCGAUACUGGCAGGCUUGAAUCCGGGAGAGGGAUGCGGAAUUCCAGGUGUAGCGGUGAAAUGCGCAGAUAUCAGGAAGAACACCCGUGGCGAAGGCGGCUCUCUGGGACGGUACUGACGCUGAGACGCGAAAGCGUGGGGAGCGAACAGG